rnacentral:rRNA from 1 species
CCUACGGGAGGCAGCAGUGAGGAAUAUUGGUCAAUGGGCGAGAGCCUGAACCAGCCAAGUCGCGUGAAGGAAGAAGGUUCUAUGGAUUGUAAACUUCUUUUGCAGGGGAAUAAAGUUCGCUACGAGUAGCGAUUUGUAAGUACCUUGCGAAUAAGGAUCGGCUAACUCCGUGCCAGCAGCCGCGGUAAUACGGAGGAUCCGAGCGUUAUCCGGAUUUAUUGGGUUUAAAGGGUGCGCAGGCGGGCCUUUAAGUCAGUGGUGAAAGUUUGCAGCUCAACUGUAAAAUUGCCAUUGAAACUGAGGGUCUUGAGUGUAAAUGAGGUAGGCGGAAUGUGUUGUGUAGCGGUGAAAUGCUUAGAUAUAACACAGAACACCAAUUGCGAAGGCAGCUUACUGGGAUACAACUGACGCUCAGGCACGAAAGCGUGGGGAUCAAACAGGAUUAGAUACCCUGGUAGUCCACGCAGUAAACGAUGAAUACUAGCUGUAUGCGAUAUACWGUAUGUGGCAAAGCGAAAGCGUUAAGUAUUCCACCUGGGGAGUACGUUCGCAAGAAUGAAACUCAAAUGAAUUCACGG